rnacentral:rRNA from 1 species
UAAUACGGGGGGAGCAAGCGUUGUUCGGAUUUACUGGGCGUAAAGGGCGCGUAGGCGGCCACCGCAAGUCGGUUGUGAAAUCUCCGGGCUUAACCCGGAAAGGUCAACCGAUACUGCGGGGCUAGAGUGCAGAAGGGGCAACUGGAAUUCUCGGUGUAGCGGUGAAAUGCGUAGAUAUCGAGAGGAACACCUGCGGCGAAGGCGGGUUGCUGGGCUGACACUGACGCUGAGGCGCGAAAGCUAGGGGAGCGAACGGGAUUAGAUACCCCGGUAGUCCUGGCCCUAAACGAUGAAUGCUUGGUGUGGCGGGUAUCGAUCCCUGCCGUGCCGAAGCUAACGCAUUAAGCAUUCCGCCUGGGGAGUACGGUCGCAAGGCUG